rnacentral:rRNA from 1 species
UACGAAGGGUGCAAGCGUUACUCGGAAUCACUGGGCGUAAAGGGUGCGUAGGCGGUCGGAUAAGUCUGAUGUGAAAUCUUCGAGCUCAACUCGGAAACUGCAUCGGAAACUAUUCGGCUAGAGGAUUGGAGGGGAGACUGGAAUUCUCGGUGUAGCAGUGAAAUGCGUAGAUAUCGAGAGGAACACCAGUGGCGAAGGCGAGUCUCUGGACAAUUCCUGACGCUGAGGCACGAAAGCUAGGGGAGCAAACAGG